rnacentral:lncRNA from 1 species
AUUGUAACUUGGCUUUAAUACAACUUUAAUCUGUCAUGCCCCGGGGACCCUUUUUGAUUUAAAAGUCAAUGCGGAAGUGCCAAAUUUUUUUUUUUUUUGAAAAUCUUGAUCCCCAGGGUAUGGCAGAUCCGCCACAAAUAUAGGGAGUCUACUGUUCACAUGGACAAAGUCUCCCCUGUAUUUGCACGGCGUCGCACAUGUACAAGAAACAACCAUAACUGUUGAACAUCCACAUAGAUAAACCACAUCACAAUUACCAUUCAUUUCAUCACUGAUAUUCACAUCCACAUCUAUUAGUUUAAAAUAUUUCCUACCUGAAAACUUAUUUUGAAACACUAAGAAUCAUGAAAACCAUGCAAAACCUUUUUAAAAUCGUUUUCCACACGAAAACCUUUUUCUUUUAAAACACGCUACCACGAGGGGUAGAAAAUCAUUUUCAUCACAUAAAAACCACAAGUUUUUUAUUACAUUCACAAAAUUUCAAUUAUCAAAUUAAAGUAAAACACUGAACUAUAAUUACUGUCUAAGUCAAUUAUUAUAAGACAA